rnacentral:rRNA from 1 species
GAUGAACGCUGGCGGCGUGCCUAAUACAUGCAAGUCGAGCGAACAGACGAGGAGCUUGCUCCUCUGACGUUAGCGGCGGACGGGUGAGUAACACGUGGAUAACCUACCUAUAAGACUGGGAUAACUUCGGGAAACCGGAGCUAAUACCGGAUAAUAUAUUGAACCGCAUGGUUCAAUAGUGAAAGACGGUUUUGCUGUCACUUAUAGAUGGAUCCGCGCCGCAUUAGCUAGUUGGUAAGGUAACGGCUUACCAAGGCAACGAUGCGUAGCCGACCUGAGAGGGUGAUCGGCCACACUGGAACUGAGACACGGUCCAGACUCCUACGGGAGGCAGCAGUAGGGAAUAUUCCGCAAUGGGCGAAAGCCUGACGGAGCAACGCCGCGUGAGUGAUGAAGGUCUUCGGAUCGUAAAACUCUGUUAUUAGGGAAGAAAAAAUGUGUAAGUAACUAUGCACGUCUUGACGGUACCUAAUCAGAAAGCCACGGCUAACUACGUG